UUACUUGAUGAAACUUAUCCACCAGUACUCUGGCGAUGAUUCAAUUGAAUAUGUGCUAGGAGCAAUCAUGCAUCACCAUCUGAUAA
rnacentral:snoRNA from 1 species